rnacentral:rRNA from 1 species
GUGAGUAACACGUGGGCAAUCUGCCCUUCACUCUGGGACAAGCCCUGGAAACGGGGUCUAAUACCGGAUAAUACUCUGUUCCGCAUGGGACGGGGUUGAAAGCUCCGGCGGUGAAGGAUGAGCCCGCGGCCUAUCAGCUUGUUGGUGGGGUAAUGGCCUACCAAGGCGACGACGGGUAGCCGGCCUGAGAGGGCGACCGGCCACACUGGGACUGAGACACGGCCCAGACUCCUACGGGAGGCAGCAGUGGGGAAUAUUGCACAAUGGGCGAAAGCCUGAUGCAGCGACGCCGCGUGAGGGAUGACGGCCUUCGGGUUGUAAACCUCUUUCAGCAGGGAAGAAGCGAGAGUGACGGUACCUGCAGAAGAAGCGCCGGCUAACUACGUGCCAGCAGCCGCGGUAAUACGUAGGGCGCAAGCGUUGUCCGGAAUUAUUGGGCGUAAAGAGCUCGUAGGCGGCUUGUCACGUCGGAUGUGAAAGCCCGGGGCUUAACCCCGGGUCUGCAUUCGAUACGGGCUAGCUAGAGUGUGGUAGGGGAGAUCGGAAUUCCUGGUGUAGCGGUGAAAUGCGCAGAUAUCAGGAGGAACACCGGUGGCGAAGGCGGAUCUCUGGGCCAUUACUGACGCUGAGGAGCGAAAGCGUGGGGAGCGAACAGGAUUAGAUACCCUGGUAGUCCACGCCGUAAACGUUGGGAACUAGGUGUUGGCGACAUUCCACGUGCUGUCGGUGCUCGCAGCUAACGCA